UACGGAGGAUGCGAGCGUUAUCCGGAUUUAUUGGGUUUAAAGGGUGCGUAGGCGGGAUGCCAAGUCAGCGGUAAAAAUGCGGUGCUCAACGCCGUCGAGCCGUUGAAACUGGCGUUCUUGAGUGGGCGAGAAGUAUGCGGAAUGCGUGGUGUAGCGGUGAUAUGCAUAGAUAUCACGCAGAACUCCGAUUGCGAAGGCAGCAUACCGGCGCCCUACUGACGCUGAGGCACGAAAGCGUGGGUAUCGAACAGG
rnacentral:rRNA from 1 species